rnacentral:rRNA from 1 species
AUUUUCGGCAAUGGGCGAAAGCCUGACCGAGCAACGCCGCGCGAACGAAGAAGAUCUUCGGAUUGUAAAGUUCUGUUAUAGAGGAAGAACGGUGUACGUAGGCAAUGACGUACAAGUGACGGUACUCUGUGAGGACGCCACGGCUAACUACGUGCCAGCAGCCGCGGUAAUACGUAGGGGGCAAGCGUUAUCCGGAUUUACUGGGUGUAAAGGGAGCGUAGACGGCAGCACAAGUCUGGAGUGAAAGGCCGGGGCUUAACCCCGGAACUGCUUUGGAAACUGUGCAGCUAGAGUGCAGGAGAGGUAAGUGGAAUUCCUAGUGUAGCGGUGAAAUGCGUAGAUAUUAGGAGGAACACCAGUGGCGAAGGCGGCUUACUGGACUGUAACUGACGUUGAGGCUCGAAAGCGUGGGGAGCAAACAGG